CGGUCUCUAAGCCGCCACAAGAAGGAGUUGUUAACAUUCAUCAACCUCAUGGUUCGGCUUCAAGUGAGGAAGAAGAGCGGAUAGAGGAAAGUCUACAAGGAACAGAAAAGGUAAAAACUUUGACUUUUUUUUUUAAUUCUCAAAAUGUGCAUUUGUUUGUGUUCAUUCAUAACUAAAAUCUUGAUUUUGUUGGAAUUGAAAAGCCAGAAGACAUUGUGAUGAGAGAGCUGAUGCAACAACAACAGCAACAACAAGAAUCAAUGAUAGGUGAGUAUGAAAAGAUUGAAGAGUCUCACAAUUAUAAUAACAUGGAGGAAGAUGAAGAGGAGCUUGAUGAAGAAGAAUUAGACGAGGAUGAGAAGUCCGCCGCUUAUGAGAUUGCGUUUCAGAGCCCUGCAAACAGAGGAGGCA
rnacentral:lncRNA from 1 species